AUUGAACGCUGGCGGCAGGCCUAACACAUGCAAGUCGAACGAGUGGCGGACGGGUGAGUAAUGUCUGGGAAAAUGCCUGAUGGAGGGGGAUAACUCCUGGAAACGGUAGCUAAUACCGCAUACCAUCGGAUGUGCCCAGAGGGGAUUAGCUAGUAGUUGGGGUACAGGCUCAACUAGGCGACGAUCCCUAGCUGGUCUGAGAGGUUGACCGUCCACACUGUAACUGAGACACGGUCCAGACUCCUACGGGAGGCAGCAGUGGGGAAUAUUGCACAGUGGGCGCAAGCCUGAUGCAGCCAUGCCGCGUGUAUGAAGAAGGCCAUCGGGUUGUAAAGUACUUUCAGCGGGGAGGCGUUACCCGCAGAAGAAGCACCGGCUAACUCCGUGCCAGCAGCCGCGGUAAUUC
rnacentral:rRNA from 1 species